UGGAAGCGCUGGUGGGCCCAUUGGUUGAUCAUUGGUUGGGACCAUCUUACACAGAAAGUUCAUCCUAUUGCCCUUUCCCACUGUGUUAAUAUGGGAACACUCCUUCUCUUCUGUUUUAUGCCUGUAGUGAUUAACCCGGGCAUUUUUAAGUAGGCUGUGCCAGGAAGCACCUUUGCAAUUCCUGCUAUUUCAUAGCCUUUGCAAAAGUCCUAGGUUUUUGUUUUCUUCCCAAGAUUGAUUUCCUACCAGUUACGUCUACUAUUUCCCAUCCUCUCUGGCAAAAUUGCAAGGAGUGGCAUCAGCACAUCUUUGUACAGUAGGCGAAUAUAUUUGGAAUGCUUAUUUCUGAGAGCUGUUGAAGACGGCUAACAAUUUUACCCCACGCAGAAGGACUGACAAUAAAUUUAGGAGUGGCAAAUGGAACCACUGUUCUGUUUCCCUCUCAGUAAAUAAAUAACUGCAAAACCUGUACUCCAAUACCAGAGCGUCAAAUCCAUGGCGCUCUGUUGAUUAACACCGAAAAUGUCUUUGUGAAGAUGAUGCAUUUAGAAGAGUCCUAAGGCUCGCACCAGAAGCUGACACUGAAGGUUUAUUUUAAUGUAGCACAAAUCAGAGCGAACGACGUGAAAAGAGUUCUGUUUCUCCUGGAAGGAUGCCACUUGUUUCUACUCCAGGGGAAAUGUCUUCCAAGCUCUUUACCAAAUCUGCAAGCUGAACCAACUCAACUGUGGCUGCCUUGCCCACCUGAAGACCUCAGGAUCCACCAGCAGCCCAAGACACCUCGGAAGCUGUUUCAAGGACAAGCGUCGCCUGCACACGUCAGCACAAAUGGGAACAUGAUGAGUGAUGCUGCCUGGAGUUAAAGGAGGCCAGGAGCACCAGAAGCUGGAGGAGGCCGGGGUGGAUUCUCGCCUGGAGGCUUCAGUGGGAGCACGAGCUCCCGACACUUCGGUUCCAUCUCUUGUUUAAAGGCACCCAGUUUCUCAUCAUUUGUUACAGCACCAUGGAAAACCCACACACAAGUGAAGCCCCGACCCACCUCCCAAGUGCCCAUCUGAGCACCCCUCGUGGACUCUGAGCAGGGGGUUGCCAUCACCAACUCCAAGUCUUGCAGCCCCUCUUCCCUUCAGUCUGGCUGCCACCUUCUUCAUUGCCCUGGAAAAAAAUAAUGAAGUUUCACCAUUUAAAGGGUUUCAGUGCAGCUUGCUAUGGGAACACUGGAGAGUAACACAAAUGGCCAAUUGUCCUAAUAGCCACCAUGGAUUGGAUGGAUGCUAACAACAGGCUCACAGUUCUCCUUCUGUUGCCUCCUUUUAUCCACAUGAGAAUCAAACAAGUAGGUGCUGCUGGUAUUACUGUAUUUUUCUCAUUUUAAAGAUCAGGAUGGGGAGGGUUGAGGAGGUUAAGGAAGUUGUUAGAAGUUACACUGAAGUUAAGAAAGGAAAAAGGACUUAGAAACUUAUUCUUCCAACUUUAGAACCACGGUCAGUGACCAAGGCCCUGCUUAGAACUUUCUGAAGGUUGCAGCUGGCCUUCUACCUGGAGUUUUGACUUCCUUUCCGAGAAAGGAACUUGAAUGGCAAUCACAAGAAAGUUGAGAACUUCUCUUUCAUAUUUUAA
rnacentral:lncRNA from 10 species